GCGGCUGGACCGAAGCUGCCUCCCCAGGCGUCUCCCCACUACUCCCGCGCCUCCACAGCCCCCACUUCCCGCCGCUCCGCUCUCAGGCAGACAUUCUGACCGACACUCACCAGUUGGCAUCUUUGCGCCCGAGGGUGUCGCAAGCGGAGGCGGCGAGGACAGGGCGCCUCCGGCCCAGCCAGCCGGGCGGUAUGCGGCGCGGGCAACAGCGCUAAGCGCCCCCACGCUGGGCACGGGGCGUACUCGCUCCAGGCGGCGGGCCGAGCGGCGGCGGCGGAGGGGAUGCGCCCGGGACGCGCAAGGCUCCUACCGCGAGCUACCGCCCCGAGGUGGACCCCCAGCAGGGCUCAACGCAGGACCGCGCGGACCCCUGCCCCCCGGGGCACGCGGCUGCGGAGCCUCGGGGCAGCAUCUGCGGUCGGGAUGCCCUGGGUGCCUCCCUGCUGGUGAGGAUGCCCUGCUGCGCGGCUCUGCACCCCCGGCCCCGGUCCCUGGUAGGCACGACUGAGAGGGCCAGACUUCGGCCCCUGGUGCCGGUGGAUGAAAAGCGCCGGAGUCCUUGAGUGCGACCAGCGAUCGAAUCUGAAUUCUAAGAGCCAUGGACGAAGGCACUGGGCUGCAGCCCCAGGCGGGAGAGCAGUUGGAAGCGCAAGCCACAGUAGGAGCUGUCCAAGAGAAGUGCGAACCAGAGACCUUUAGGUCCAAGAGUUUACCCGUCCUGAACAGCGCCUCCUGCCGGCCAGACCUCAGUCCUGCGAGUACAGGCGCAAAGGCAGCUUUUGGCUGUACAGAUUCUUUGGGCCUUCAGGAGUCGAAACAGGGCCCAAGCGGGUUGGCCCCCAGUCCCUCUGCUCCGUCCACUUCGGCAGAGAUGGCAGGGCUCAUGGAAUGUAACCACAGGGUGGAAGUCAGCAAAGCCGUGUCGGUGUCCUCCACGCUGGCCACGCUCCAGGGGAGAAGGUGCCUCUAUGUGGUCCUCACUGAUUCCCGUUGCUUCCUGGUUUGCAUGUGUUUCCUGACCUUCAUCCAGGCGUUGAUGGUCUCCGGCUACUUGAGCAGUGUCAUCACCACCAUCGAAAGGCGCUACAGUCUGAAGAGUUCUGAGUCGGGGCUACUGGUCAGCUGCUUUGACAUUGGGAGCCUGGUGGUGGUGGUGUUCGUCAGCUACUUUGGCGGCCGGGGUCGGAGGCCCCUGUGGCUGGCCGUCGGUGGACUUUUCAUUGCCAUCGGGGCUGCCCUCUUUGCUUUACCUCACUUCAUCUCGCCUCCCUACCAGAUCCAAGAGUUGAAUGCCUCGGCCUCCAACGACGGCCUGUGUCAGAAUGGCAACUCCACGGCCACCUCGGAGCCUCCCGCCUGCCUGAAGGACUCAGGAGGAAAUAAUCACUGGGUCUAUGUGGCUUUAUUCAUUUGCGCACAGAUUCUCAUCGGAAUGGGUUCCACACCUAUUUAUACCUUGGGACCAACCUACUUGGAUGACAAUGUCAAGAAAGAAAACGCAUCCUUGUACCUAGCCAUCAUGUAUGUCAUGGGAGCACUUGGUCCUGCAGUGGGAUAUUUAUUAGGUGGACUUCUUAUUGGGUUUUAUGUCGAUCCCAGAAAUCCUGUUAACCUUGAUCAGAAUGACCCUCGUUUCAUUGGAAACUGGUGGAGUGGAUUCCUCCUUUGUGCCAUUGCAAUGUUUCUUGUGAUAUUCCCAAUGUUUACUUUUCCAAAAAAGCUUCCUCCUCGACACAAGAAAAAGAAAAAGAAAAAAUUUUCUGCUGAUGUUGUUAGUGAUGAUGACGUUAUGAAGGAGAAAUCAAACAAUAGUGAACAAGUGGACAAAAAAGUUUCUUCUAUGGGAUUUGGAAAGAAUGUCAGAGACCUACCAAGAGCAGCUGUCAGGAUCUUAAGCAACAUGACAUUCCUUUUUGUGAGUUUGUCAUACACAGCUGAGAGUGCCAUUGUAACUGCUUUCAUUACCUUCAUUCCCAAGUUCAUCGAGUCACAGUUUGGUAUCCCAGCUUCCAAUGCCAGCAUCUACACUGGUGUUAUUAUUGUCCCCAGUGCCGGUGUGGGGAUUGUCCUGGGAGGCUACAUUAUAAAAAAACUGAAACUUGGUGCAAGAGAAUCUGCGAAACUAGCCAUGAUCUGCAGUGGUGUAUCUUUACUGUGUUUUUCCACCCUGUUUAUCGUUGGAUGUGAAAGUAUUAAUCUAGGGGGCAUAAACAUCCCAUAUACAACAGGACCUUCUCUCACCAUGCCUCACAGGAACCUGACAGGAAGCUGCAAUGUUAAUUGUGGUUGUAAAAUACACGAGUAUGAGCCAGUCUGUGGAUCAGAUGGAAUUACAUACUUUAACCCUUGUCUGGCUGGCUGUGUUAACAGCGGUAAUCUUAGCACUGGGAUAAGGAAUUACACAGAAUGCACGUGUGUCCAAAGCCGGCAGGUGAUCACCCCGCCCACAGUGGGCCAGCGCAGUCAGCUUCGCGUCGUUAUUGUCAAAACCUAUCUCAACGAGAACGGCUAUGCUGUGUCCGGGAAGUGUAAACGGGCCUGCAAUACCCUUAUCCCGUUCUUAAUUUUCCUUUUCAUAGUCACCUUCAUCACAGCAUGUGCCCAGCCAUCAGCCAUCAUAGUAACACUCAGGUCGGUAGAAGAUGAGGAGAGACCUUUCGCGCUGGGGAUGCAGUUUGUUCUAUUGCGAACACUUGCAUACAUUCCUACUCCAAUUUACUUUGGAGCAGUCAUUGACACCACCUGCAUGCUCUGGCAACAGGAAUGUGGGGUACAAGGCUCUUGCUGGGAGUACAAUGUGACCUCGUUCCGUUUCGUCUAUUUCGGUUUGGCCGCCGGCCUCAAAUUUGUUGGCUUUAUUUUCAUUUUUCUGGCCUGGUACUCCAUUAAAUACAAGGAGGACGAGCUGCAGAGGCAGAGGUGGAGAGAGUUCCCUCUGAGCACCGUGAGCGAGAUGGUGGGCCACUCGGACCGUGCCCACAAGGAGGCCCGGACUAGAUCCUGCCCAGCUCUCGGCAGCCAGGGGGGGUUCUGCGAAGAGACUGGCCUGCGGAAAGGCGUCCACUGCACAGCACAGACCUACCCGGGGCCCUUCCCCGAAGCAAUAAGCCCGGCCCCGGCCCCGGGGCUCGAAGAAAGCCCAACUGCCACGGAGCCUCCCUCCUGAAGCUUGAAAACGGAAGACUUUAGUUUUGUUGGUUGAGUCGAAUAUGGCAACUUGAGAAACACCCGUGCCUUCUUUUCUUUCUUUCUUUUUUUAACCUCUAAAGACACGAUCCUCAGACCAACGAAACUCAGUAUACACAGCCACUGUUGAUUGAGGGCUGGAUACCUCAACAAGACUGACAGCCUUCUCCCCCCCUUCUCUCCAAGAAGGAGGAGUUUAGAUAGAGUUGUUACCAUUUCUGCUAUGUUAAUUUAAUGCUCAUGUUCCGGUGUGGUAUAAGGCUGAGAGGUGCCUGGUUAUAACAAAAUCACGGGAAGUGUAAUGGCGGAGCAUAUCAUUAGCAUACACUCCAAACCGAGGUGAGCUUGACCAUGACUUCGCAUUUACCAAUCAAGGUUUUUAGAUAUGAACACCUACUGUGAGUCCCGCUACAAAGCACAAAUGAAUUUGCCUCAACUAUGCAAUUUUGAUGGGGAAAAUGUAAGUGCAGCAUGUUACUUUUGCUUUCAGAGACUAAAAGCAGAUACGUUUUUGAGAAGAGGACAAGAAACUUUCCCUAAAGUACUGUUAAUAGCAUUUUAAGCCAUAGCAGAGUUAUAAAUCAGGUAGAAUUUUUCAAAUGCUUCAAAGGAAUCAUACGCAUAGUGUGAUAGAAGGAACUGCUACAUUCUUCCAUAAGACACGUUCUCUGCCCCAUUAUAAGCUAAAGAGUCUGCUGGAUCAUAAAUCUGAGAGCCUGAAUAGAAACUCUGGUAUUCUUUUUGCCAGGGGCUUUAAAACUAGUGUGCUAAACAAUAUGGCUAGAGAUGAACUCGAGACGUAUCGUAAGGAGAGAAACUGAUGGCUUUCUCCUCCAAAGAAAAAUGCUACAGAAAUCCUUUCGGCUCUUACGGGCCCACACAAGGGUAGUUAAGAACGGUAACCUUGACACUCAAAAUAGUUGGAAAAAGAAAUUCCACAAAGGUACAGUUGAGUCCCAUCUGAUCGUUUUAGCUUUACGUCCAGAAGCCCGGCAAGUCUGCCCUGUUUUCUUUUUUAUGCACAGAAAAUUGCUAUGGUUGCCCCCUGAAACUGAGUAGUUAAAUCAGGAAAGCUACACCUGUGAUAUGAAAAUCACUUUGAAUACAGGAGGAGGGCGAUCGGUGACCUGGGCCCAGAGUAUGAUCCUAAAUAAUGAUCGGAAGUUACUUAAAAUCAGCUUGUCUGUCAUCCUGAAUUCUAUUUUAUCAGCGUUCGAAUGAUUUUACGCCUCCCUUUGAUUCCUUCCUCCUGUAAUCUUCCUGAAGCAAUUCUGAGAGAGGAUUUUUCUGUUCCUAAAUGCACUUUGGAUUCUUACCCAUCAUCUUUUUCAGUUCCUCUCAGCACAUCACUUUGACUUAGGCACCACACAGAAUGCUUUCUACAUGGUUCUUAAGGUAGAUGCUUCCUGCCAGCACUAUGGGCUGAUAGCAAGUUAACUCUUGGGUUCUGGCGGCUCAGAAAAAGAAUCCUCACAAUCCAGAUUUAGGAGGGACUGUGGUCCAAAUACCAACAUAAUUGUGAGCAGUUUCUGCCAAGGAGCCUAUGCUUAUGUAGGGGCUGAGUUGGGAAAUGAUUUCCUUGGCUGGCUUACACUCUUCCACGGAGGGCAAGUGAUUGACAGAAUUGUCCCAUGAUUCAGGCUUUUGCCCUUCAUCCUUGGCUGCACUGGUGGAGUUGUGCGAACGUUCCUGGGGCCAAGAUUGUUUUCCCCUCUACCUAAGAACGGCAUUGUCAGGUGGUUCUCUUGGUUGCACGCAGUUUGUGGACAGAGUUACCACUCUUAGACUGAAUAAUGUGUACAAGGGGGCAGCCGGUGGUCUCAGGUGACAAGGACUUCCCUUUGAGCAGUCUUGUUGGCUGAGUCCUAAGUCCUAAGUUGCCUGGAAUUGCACUGUUGUCUGUCAACCUUUGGUAAGUAUAGUGUGUAUCGAACGUCUUCAGAGAAUGUUGCUGAUUAACUUAGUGUCUGCUCUGGUGCUUCGGGGCUCCCGUUUACUCUCUGUGGGAGAUCUUUGCUCCUUUAGAAGGGAAAGUUUCCUUUUGUGUUGGAGCUAAAGAUACACAGGUUGGGGAGAGGCGGUGUUUUCUUAAUUUUCCUCUAAUUGCUAAGGAACUACAUGGAGAGAAUUUGGAUGGGAGUAGCACUGCUUUUUUUUUUUUCCUUAAAGCCAAGAUUGUAUGAUCCAACACUCUUAGAAUCUGUUUCUUCUUGGUAGUAUAUUUUGAAAAGGAGCCGCUCUCAGAACUCCCAGGUGACAAGUGAUAGACUUUUUGGGUACGACUCGAGAGCCCUCUCUCUCUACCUUGAACAGUCAUCCAGUUCAGCAACCUCGACCAGGUGCCACUUCUCUAUUGGGCACAAUUUUAGCCAAUUACCAUCUGCCGCUCAGUGAAAUUGUUAGGUUGACUAGGCCAGAAUUCAAAGAAAUUGGCCCAAAUUAUACACCACAAUGUUAAUAUUGUACUUCCUCAAGUAUGUGAUACUUAUAAAUAGCAGGUGUAUCAUUAGUGUGUUGUUGGUAAGUGUAGAGUAAGUAGUGAAAAUCAUGGAAGACUGAAAUUUUGAAAUAUGUACCAAUUAAGAAUUGUCCCCAAAAUGCUUUGGGUCCCGGUAGCAUCCUUGGAAUAUUGCAUAAUCAACUAAAGUGACUAUUUUAUAAAUGGCACCAUUUCAUUGUAGAUACGAGGUUCUUCUCUGCUUGCUACUUUAUAGUUACGGCUUCUAUUAUAAGUUUAAUUCCCACUUUCCAUGAGCUUAGAUUCUAAUCGCCUGUUUUGGAAAAAGGUCACCUUGUUCUUUUAUCAACUCUGUAGAUUACUGUAUUAUUUGGCUUUAAUAUGCAAAUAUAAUAUCCAUGAGUCUAGCCUAUUAAUUUAGAAACUCCCAGGGGGAGGGUGGGUGGUUGGAGCACAUUUUUUUUUUCAGUUCUCUCCAUUAGUAUGAAAUCCUUAUCCUUUGUAGGUGGAUUUAAUUCUUGAAAAUAGUCAGAAGUCAUUCAGAACGAAGGUUGGGUGGGAAGGAGAGCACAGAAGAAACAAAUGAGCUUUUGUUGACUGUUGACCAUUUCAGAGAAUUCUGUCGGACACCUAGUAUACAUCAUUUAUUUUAAUACUCUUAAUAACUUUGCAAGAUAACUAUUUUCAUUCUGUGUUGUUGUUGUUUCUUUUUAAACAGAUCAUGAAAACUGAGACACAGAGAGGUAAAGAGACUUGUUUAGGAUUCUAGAGAAUGGCCAAGUCAGGGUUCAGAAGCAGCUUUCUGUCUCCACCACCUGAUUCUUAUGUUUUAUGAUGCCCACAAUAGCGUUGGUUAACAAAGACAAGUGCGGCUCUAAUUUAGCGAGGAUGCUGCUGGCUGUAUCCGCCCCAGACUUCCUGCUACAUUGGAAUCAGAUCUGUGUAUGUUUGAACGGGUUAUUUUAAGCACUUCAUUUUUACUCAGCCCUGCGAAGGGUCAAGUAUGUUGAAAACCCUCCCUGGGUAUUUGCUUUUGCAACAUUAAAAAAAAAACAAAACAAAAAACGCCUCGGUGCUAAAAGUAUUUGAUGCAUGCUCACCACAAAAUGUGCCGCUGAAUUUACAGUAUUUCACUGGUAAGGGACUGCACGUGCUUUGCUUUUGGAAAUCUAGAGAGCUUCCGAGAACACAAGCAUUCGUUACGCUCAUUACUACAGUUAAUCCGUGAACGUUACCCUGCAAAAUGAAGAGUAUUAAGGGAAAUACCUUUUCUACGGAAAACUCAGCGCUUUUGAUAUUUCUUUUAGCAAGAAUAAUAAGAUGCUAAAAAUAAUUUCAGAGAGAGGGCAAAAAUAUUUCCCAUAAUCUUUUCUUAUUUCUUCUCCAAAAAAACUGACACUCAUGUAAAGUGUUUUUAAUAAUGGGUUUUGAAGGUGUUGUCUUUUUCUUGAAUUCUAUUACCUGUUAAAAUCAGAGGAGAAGAUAUUGAAAACUAAAGUAAUUGCAGGGACAUAUUAAACCAAAGGGGUGAACAAAAAAGAGUUUAAACUUUGUAUCUAGAAACGAAAAAUAAGAAUAAUUGAUAAAACUUUAUAGUGGGCAUUUUUCUUAAAAUACAUACCUCUACCCCAAACCCCAAGUGUUAAUUUAGAAGCACGAAACAGGCAGGUCAGCCUCUAACUCUUUAGUUCAAGGAGAUGUAAUACUGUGUCAAAUAAACUGGCAUUAGAAUCCUAAUGGAGCAUGUGUUCAGUGUGUGUGUUUUGUGUGAAAGUGUGUUGGUGACGAAAGCCUGUUUUGAGUUGUUGCCUAAAGGAGUUUGAUUUUGUGAUUUUUAAAAUGAGUAUUUAUUUGGAGACCUCUUAGGGUAAUUUGACAGAUGUAUACUUUCCUUGUGUUUAAUGAAAUCUAUUGUCAAUGUACUAAUAAACCUUGGUUUACAACAUCUUGAAUACUUGAUCAUUGAAUAUUAAGAAAAAAGUAAAGAAAAUAAAGUGUGUGGACUGAAA